rnacentral:rRNA from 1 species
AUUGAACGCUGGCGGCAGGCCUAACACAUGCAAGUCGAGCGGCGCGGCGGACGGGGGAGUAAUGCCUAGGGAUCUGCCUGGGAGUGGGGGAUAACGUCGGGCAACGGGCGCUAAUACCGCAUACUAUCAGAUCAGCUUAGGUCGGAUUAGCUGGUUGGUGGGGUAAUGGCCUACCAAGGCGACGAUCCGUAACUGGUCUGAGAGGAUGAUCAGUCAAACUGGAACUGGGACCCGGUCCAGACUCCUACGGGAGGCAGCAGUGGGGAAUAUUGGACAAUGGGCGAAAGCCUGAUCCAGCCAUGCCGCGUGUGUGAAGAAGGUCUUCGGAUUGUAAAGCACUUUAAGUUGGGAGGCGUUACCAACAGAAUAAGCACCGGCUAACUUCGUGCCAGCAGCCGCGGUAAUUC